rnacentral:lncRNA from 1 species
UGUGGGUGUUAACAGGGGACUCUGGAGGUGGGGGGUUUCCAGAGGUAGGGCAGAUAUCUGGGGGUUAGUGGGGUCUGUGAAGGUAGUGGGAAACCCUCAGGAUGGGUGGGUGCUCUAGGGCUUCAUGAGCGUCCUUGGGGACUUAGAGUGUGUCUCUGGGGGUUAGUGGAGGGCUCUGUGGGUGACAGAGGGUUCUGGGGUUAUCAGUUUUGGGGGCUAGCUGAGGGUUCUGGGCUUUGGGCAGGUUCUGGUUGCCAUGAGGAAGGAGCUACUUCACUUCAAGAUGGUUGAUGGAUGAAGGAAAGUUGUGUGCUUCCCCCAGCUCCUUUUCCUGCAUACGAGUGCCUUGUUACAGAGUUAUGUUGUUCAGCCUCUGCCACCUUGUUCCCAAAGUGUUGAAACUUCCAAGGACCUGUGCAAACAUAGGGAAGCCAAAGUGAUGUGAUUGUUCCCAUAAUGUAGUAACUGAUUUCAGAAUCAAGGAUUAGAGAAGAAAAAAAUCUAUCUCCGCACGCACCCUAUCUGUGGGUAAUUCAAUGCAUGUCUGUGUAUAGACUCCUUCCCAGUGCUGCUGUAUCGCCCGGCCGACAGAAACCCUCUGCCAGCUCAGCUCUGAGAUUUACAAGGUAAUCUCAGCGUCAGAAGACUCAAAUGCUAAGACAUUCGGGAGAAACCUGCUGUAUAGUUUGGUUAAUAUGUAAGCCUGCUUAUUCUCUGAGAGCAAGUCAGCCUGUUCCCCAGAUGGUUCUCAGAAGCGUUUGGAGUUAGAAUACUUUGAGAAGAAAUUCUCUGUUCAAAUUCAGACCAGAGAAGCAGUACACAAAAUGAAGGCAUGUAGUGGUGUUACCGACUGUGUUUGAACCCCAAGAACUUUGCAGAGCAUCAAUGUCUUAUUGUCAAAGCAAGAAGGACUUUGUUACAUCCCGAGGAUGAUGAAUGUUUAGGAUGUUGUUAACUUGGGUGUGCUGCAUCCCCUCUGUUUUCAUGGGAUGCAUCUGCUGUGAGAAGCGUGACAAGCUUUCUAUUUGACAAACAUAACAAAGAAUUCGCACUCCUUGCAUGCUUGAGUAAAUGCAAAAAAAAGUCACUUUUAAAAAUCUGGUAUUUCCUGACUUUUUUUUUUUUCUUUUAACUACAGUUUUGUCUCAAUUUAGCUCAAAAUAGCUUGUGUGUUUAUUUUCCUUUUGGAAGGAAAAGGACAUCCCUUCUUGCCUAUACAAACAAAAAGUUACCUUGACAGAUUAAAGAAAUUGCAAGCUUCAGCAGCUUUGCCAGCAAAUUUUGGAAGGUCUUUGCGCUGUACUAGCCCUAUAGACUAGCAGUAUUUCAUAGCUCCCAAUCACUUUGCCUUUUCAGACUAACAGAUACAUCUGUAGCUGAGCAUGGAGACAUUUUAUUUACGCUGUGACAACCAAAUAAUUUUUGAAAUACAGAUUUUUU